rnacentral:rRNA from 1 species
GACGAACGCUGGCGGCGUGCCUAAUACAUGCAAGUAGAACGCACAGUUUAUACCGUAGCUUGCUACACCAUAGACUGUGAGUUGCGAACGGGUGAGUAACGCGUAGGUAACCUGCCUGGUAGCGGGGGAUAACUAUUGGAAACGAUAGCUAAUACCGCAUAAUAUUAAUUAUUGCAUGAUAAUUAAUUGAAAGGUGCAAUUGCACCACUACCAGAUGGUCCUGCGUUGUAUUAGCUAGUAGGUGAGGUAACGGCUCACCUAGGCGACGAUACAUAGCCGACCUGAGAGGGUGAUCGGCCACACUGGGACUGAGACACGGCCCAGACUCCUACGGGAGGCAGCAGUAGGGAAUCUUCGGCAAUGGACGAAAGUCUGACCGAGCAACGCCGCGUGAGUGAAGAAGGUUGUCGGAUCGUAAAGCUCUGUUGUAAGAGAAGAACGGGUGUGAGAGUGGAAAGUUCACACUGUGACGGUAUCUUACCAGAAAGGGACGGCUAACUACGUG